CUUCCACUCAAUGGGACCCUUGCAUCGCAUAAGCUCUUUUCUAUGCAAAGAGGAUAACAAAUCCUGCCCUGCCCACCUGGCUGGGUUGUUGUUUGAAUUAAGUGAGAUAAGGGAUGUGAAAGUGCUCUGAGAGCUGUAAGGCUGGGAAUCGAAGGGAAGGUUAUCUGUGCCCGCUAGGCAACGAUUCACUGACUGUCUUGUGACAUCGCCUCUGUACUGUCCACCACGCUUAUUAAAAAUCUCACAAAUCUACUUAACCACUCCCAGCCGAGGGCUUGGCUUCGCUGACUGGCUGCAUUCAGCUUGUUCAGCAAAGCCUGCCUCCUUCCACAAGAUGGCCAGAGCGGUGUUGUUGGUUUCUGUUGGUGGACAGAAACAGGAUUUCUUCCCAGGUGGAGCAAAGCUGACCUGGGUAGAUGGGAGCCCACACUGUGGCUUCAUUAACACUUACUGACUUGUGUUCUUGGGCUGUUGAUUGAGGCCCCAGGAGUAAGUCAUUCUCUUGGGGUGAAUGGGUAAGAUUCCUCUCCUCUGGUGGGGGGACCAUGCUUUGGUUCCUUUGUUUGAGUUAUCUACCGCUUGGGUGAGACGCCAUCUCCAAACUUAGUCUUAAAACAACACUCUAUUGUUUCCCGUGAUUCCGUGGUUGACAGGCUUCAGCUGGGCGGUUCUGCUCCCCGCGGCUGACCCGCUGCCGAGCCUGCUCUCAGUUGGGAGCUUGGCUCCACUGGAAAGGACCAGAGGCUUCUCACCCUCCCAGGUUUCUCUCCACACGGCGUCUGCACAGUGAGUUGUGCAGCCGAGCUCCUCCACGACGUAGCAGCCGCCUACCACGAGGACGAGCCCCUGCUUACGGAGCCGCUGCUGGUGCUCAGCCGGACCCCCCGAGUCACAGGACCAAGCCUAGCGUCCACGUGGGAGGAGAAGAAGCAAAGGCAGGCGGCCGCAGAGGCAUGCGUUCUGGGGGCCCCUGAUGUGCUAAUUCCCCACAACCUCACUUUCUUUCUUGGGAAGUCACCCCCGUACAUCAUAGAAGAGGGCAGCAGCCAGGCUUGUGUUUACCUGCUCUCUUUCCACUGGCACCAGUGUUGCUGGGCUUGGAGGCCUGGGGUGUGACUUGGGGAAGUUCCAGAGACCCCCGCUCCUCUGCUCUGUGCCAACGGUGGCUUCUGUCCCUGGGCGACCACAGCCUGUACAGAGGAGACUCAGAGGCCUGACAGGGUUGCUGUGAGGGUUCAGUGGACUGAUGCAUGCAGAGCCCUCAGCACAGUGCCUGGUACACAGCAAGCGCUCACUCAGCACAUCCAGCUGGUGUUACUAAGCAGCAGAUGCCCAAGGCCACCUCCAGAGAGGACGCAGGACAACAGGAGGGCAGCGCAUCCACAGAGGCUUCCCAGGCUAUUAUGAGG